UACGUAGGGACCGAGCGUUGUCCGGAAUCAUUGGGCGUAAAGAGCUCGUAGGCGGUUUGUCGCGUCUGCCGUGAAAGUCCGGGGCUCAACUCCGGAUCUGCGGUGGGUACGGGCAGACUAGAGUGAUGUAGGGGAGACUGGAAUUCCUGGUGUAGCGGUGAAAUGCGCAGAUAUCAGGAGGAACACCGAUGGCGAAGGCAGGUCUCUGGGCUGACACUGACGCUCAUGCACGAAAGCGUGGGGAGCAAACAGG
rnacentral:rRNA from 1 species